CUACGGGCGGCAGCAGUGAGGAAUAUUGCACAAUGGGGGAAACCCUGAUGCAGCAACGCCGCGUGGAGGAUGACGCAUUUCGGUGUGUAAACUCCUUUUAUAUGUCAAGAAAAUGACGGUAGCAUAUGAAUAAGCACCGGCUAACUCCGUGCCAGCAGCCGCGGUAAUACGGAGGGUGCAAGCGUUACUCGGAAUCACUGGGCGUAAAGGACGCGUAGGCGGGUUGGUAAGUCAGGUGUGAAAUCCUACAGCUUAACUGUAGAACUGCACUUGAACUACCAACCUAGAGUAUGGGAGGGGGAGAUGGAAUUAGUGGUGUAGGGGUAAAAUCCGUAGAUAUCACUAGGAAUACCGAAAGCGAAGGCGAUCUCCUGGAACAUAACUGACGCUAAGGCGUGAAAGCGUGGGGAGCAAACAGGAUUAGAUACCCCUGUAGUC
rnacentral:rRNA from 1 species